GCCCGCCUAGCUCAAUUGGCUUAGAGCGUCAGACUUUUAAUUCGUCUGUUUCGGCGGUAUCUGAAGGCUGCGGGUUCGACCCCCGCGGUGGGCU